rnacentral:rRNA from 1 species
UACGUAGGUGGCAAGCGUUGUCCGGAUUUACUGGGCGUAAAGAGCGCGCAGGCGGUCGUUCAAGUCGCGUGUGAAAGCCCCCGGCUCAACUGGGGAGGGUCACGCGAUACUGUUCGACUCGAAGGCAGGAGAGGGAAGUGGAAUUCCCGGUGUAGUGGUGAAAUGCGUAGAUAUCGGGAGGAACACCAGUGGCGAAGGCGACUUCCUGGCCUGUUCUUGACGCUGAGGCGCGAAAGCUAGGGUAGCAAACGGGGAGUUAAGA